rnacentral:lncRNA from 1 species
GAAACGUAGUCCUCCACAUCAUCAAUUCCUUCCAAGAUGAUUCCGGAAGACGAUGCCGUUUCGCCGGACAUUGUCACAAAACAAAAAGGAAAUAUACGGAAAAGAAAUUAAGUAUCAACAGGGAAACUGAAAUUUAACCGAAUCCGAAGAGAAAUUCCACUGCAUCGCGUUUCGUUUUUCUAAGUAUAAAAUCUUCUCUGUUUUUUUUUCAGAGGUUGAGAGUUCUUCAGUAACCCAGCCCUGGCAUUUUUCUUUUCAAAAAGAGGCACAAAACAAAAGAGGCAGAGCAAAGCAGCAGUAGAGGCACAAAACAGUAAAGCAAAAGAGGCACAAAAGCCAGAAUUAAAAAGUAAAUAAAAACAAAGCAUAACUAAUAAUUAAAGAGAAGAAGAAGAAAACGAACUCACCUGCGGAAGAGGAACAAAGAACAGGAAGGAGCUUUCACAGCGAAAAUGUGAAAAAAAUGGGUAUAGAACUUUCACAGCAGAGGAAAUAACGUUUUUCCAAGGGGGAGAAGACAGGUUAUUUUGGUCAUUUAUCAGCCAAAAGCACUUCAAGCUUUUUAUAUGGUGAAAUUUUC